rnacentral:rRNA from 1 species
UUCCCGUCGGUCUGAGGGAGGGAGGUUCUUCUUCCGGAAGUGGUGAGGCUGGGCUGGGCUCCUCCUUCUUCUGGAGAGAGGGUAGGUGGGUGUGUGGAUCCACUAUCUACACGACGACGACGACGACGAGGACGAUCCAUCCAUCCAUCCAUCCCAAAGCUCCUCCUUCCUAGACAGGACGGCGCCGACAUGCUGCUGCUGCUGCUCCUCCUCCUCCUCGCACGUCCCCCGCCUAGACGAUCGCAGAAAGGCCUCCGACUUGCAGUGUUCCUCCGUCCGUACCUCGUGAUGUGGUACUCCGAGUCGCGCCCCCCUCCCCGGUGCGGGUGGGUCGUCGUCGUCGUCGUCGUCGAGACGGGGACCCCCCUCGUCAGGGACUACCACCGCCGCCGCGGGCUGGCCUCCAGCUCCAAGACCGUCUACCUGCACCGGCACCGCCGGGUCGGCCGGGCGUAGCUCCAGUAUACGGGCGACGGCGCGGCGGGUCGGGCGGGAGGGAUGGGGCAGCUCGGGAAGCCGUCCCGGUGGAGGUCCGGAUUGUUGCCCUGCAAUGGUCACAUAUCUUGUCUGAGGCGGAGACUAUAGGAACUAGAGUAGGAGUCGUUCUUACUGGGACUACAACUAUGGCUAAGGUUGCCGGUCCACCCUAAAAAGACACCGAGCGGGGGGCAGGCGUGAUUGUUGGGGUAACACUUACUAGGCGUCAAACCAUCCUUAUGGGGGACAAAAAGAGGAGAUCCCUCGGGUAAGUCGUUCUACGAACCACCUUCUCGACUUCAUCCGAGAGGCAGAACGCCCCGCUCAUCGUCGGGCUUUCACUCCUAGCUUCCGAAACGGACGCCCUUGUUUCUCUUGGUAACACGUCAGUGGAAACGGACUCUCGUAAAAGCGGUAUGGUAGUUAAGUGGUAACUGGUAAUCGCGGUAAAACGUUGGGGGUAGGGUGGGGGGUUGUACAUUUAAAAGGCGGGGGCUCUAUGUCGAUCAGGGAAAUUAGGAUUCGUUCAUCAUGGACAAGGCUCAGUCUCAAAUAAAUCAACUCAACUCAACUCAGGAACGGCAGCGGUCAGACCAACAGCGAAAACUUUGACGCGUUAGCGUCUCUCGAAAGCCAAUACAUGUAUCCGCUCCAGAGGCAGGCAACACAGGACAUAGAUGUAGAACACAUUACACACACACGGAACACAGAUCGUUCACAGGGUCAGGGUACCCACACAAGUCUCAGAUCGUUCACAGGGUCAGGUACCCACACAAGUCUCAGACAUUUAUGGAAGACAGGACGUAAGUCUACGUAUUAAUUCUUUGAUAAUAUAAUAAUAUAAUUUAGGAGAAACAAGGACAC